UCCCAGUUUAUGGCUCCUUUCAGCCCUUACUCAGUGCCCAGGUGCAGGAGCCUGACCACAGUCCCUCUCCCAUCCUCUCUGGGUGUGCUUCUGUCUUAUCUGAGAUCUCCUUAGGCUGUGCCCUGUGAAGCCUUUCCUGGCUUCUCUCUGCUCCCAGAAGCACUGUAAAUAGUUAUUUACAUUGCUGUCUCCCAGAACCAGGUAAAGGGUUGUUUACAUUGUAUUAGCUCCCAAGGGUGGGGACUGUAGCUCAUUUCUCUCCUUCGAUUCUUUCCAGUUUUCAACAUUUAGAGAGGGCUCCAGGAUACUGGCUGAAUGAAUAAAGAUCUAAAUAUCUCGGAGCAAGGCCAUCCUAAGAUGCCCUCUAUCCAGAGGCUUCUUUUUUCUUUUUUCUUUUUUAAAGAUUUAUUUAUUUACUUAUUUAUUUGUUUAUUUAUUUAUGAUAGAUAUAGAGAGAGGCAGAGACACAAGAGGAGGGAGAAGCAUGCUCCAUGCUGGGAGCCCGAUGAUCGCUCCCAGGAUCUGGAGAUCAUGGCCUGAGCUGAAGGCAGACACUGAGCCGACGGAGCCACCCAGGCACCCCAAGGGAUUCCCUCUUAAAAUGAGAGUUCCAGUGUUCAGUCUCUCCAGUGGUUUCUGGAAGUGCUUCUUUCCCGACAUGCUCACCAACAUAGCGUAUCAUGACACUUCUCAUCUUUGUUCAUCUGAUAGGUGAAAAAUGGAUAUUUUGCUCGAGUCCAGGGCGUCAGUCAGCUUAUCAAGGCCUUUGUACGGAAGACAGAAAGUCAUUGUCAGAUUCCUAACCUUGGGGCUGAGAUGGGUAGCACCUUCUGGAGAUAAUGAGACACACAGAAAGAGAGAGGCAGAGGGAGAAGCAGGCACCAUGCAGAGAGCCUGACGUGGGACUCGAUCCAGUGUCUCCAGGGUCAUGCCCUAGGCUGCAGGCGGCGCUAAACCACUGCACCAACGGGGCUGCCCUAAGAAUUUUAAAAAUAUAUUCAGAGGGAAUCCAGUCACUGGCUACCGGUCUCUUCGCCCCAUCGCCAGCUCCUUGCACCUGCUGCCACCAUCAGCCGCCUACGUGAUGUCACUAGGGCCAUAGUGGAGGAUGUCCGUCUUGAUUGUCAUCCUUUGCUCUUACAAACAGGGCUUAGGAUCAAACUCCUUGUAUACAUUGCGUGUGCACGUGUGGAAGAACCCUGCCAGUGGAAUUGCUGAGACUGACAGCCCAUGCAUUGGCCAUCCUGACAGUAACUGAGAUUUUGUUGUCAUCAAGACAGUGUGUUCAGUACAGUUGGAGAUGAGCAAGGCUGGGUGAAGAGCCGAGAAAACAGAAGUCCUCAGUGAAGAUCUGUUACAGGAACCUGGGAUCAUGACCUGAGCCGAAGCCAGAUGCCUAACCGAGUGAGCUACCCAGGUGCCCCAGCAAUCUCAACUGAAGGGUGACUGGGAGCAGAUGCAAAACUGCACCGUGUGACGGGGUGGCCAGAGGAAACGAGUCAUUCAGACAGCCUACCAGAAGAACAGGAGGAUGAGACGCACGCAACAGGGCCCCGGGCUACGGACAGGUGGGUACCAAGUCCCAUCAGCUGACCACGUGGGUGAGAUGGCAGCGCCCGGGGACACGACGACUGGGGGUGGGGGGUCAAGGUGGUUUUUCCACCUACACUAAGAAUGCUCUGAGUCUUUCUGGAAAUAGAAGAAGAAAAAGGAAGAGGAAGACAGGAACUAGGACGUCAGGGAGACAGGAGGACAGGCGGAGGUGGCAGCAGCUGAAGCCCAAGGUGUGGCAACCCCACAAAGAAAGACGGAUCUCGUCUCCUUCGCUGGGUUUCCA